UUAAACGCAAGGAUUGGGAGUAUUAAGGAUGAGUAUUGCUCAGAGAACUGUCGUUUCGGUGCGAGACAGUCAAUAGCUUCCCCAACUCACCCAUGAGCGGUAAGGCUGAAACCAGCAGGUUUAGGUCUUAACGGUUAACCUCCGUCAUUUGGUUCUAAGAUGGUUCGUUAACGUUCGGAAACAAACGAAUCAAAAAGAGUGGUACCGCGAAGGGAAACCUGUCGCCUCUUUG
rnacentral:ncRNA from 1 species